rnacentral:lncRNA from 1 species
GUUCCCAGGCCAGGGGUCCAAUCGGACCUACAGCUGCGGGACUAUACCACAGCCACAGCAAUGCCAGAUCCGAGUCGCGUCUGCAACCUACACCACAGCUCACAGCAACAUCGGAUCCUUAACCCACUGAGUGAGGACGGGGAUGGAACCCGCAACCUCAUGGUUUCUUGUCCGAUUUGUUUCCACUGAGCCACCACAAGAACUCCCACCUUUUUUUUUUUUUUUUUGAUGGGUGCACCCGAGGGAUAUGGAAGCCCCCAGCCAGGGAUGGAACCCAAGCCUCAGCUACAACCUAUGCCAGAGGUGCGGCAAUGCUGGAUCCUUUCACUCACUGUGCCAGGCUGGGGACUGAACCAGCGCCUCUGCAGUAACUGGAGCUGCUACAGGUGGAUUCUGAACCCACUGCACCACAGUGGGAGUGCCCCGUUGCAUACAUUUCAAAAGUAAAAUGGACAGUUCAUGAACGUGCCUUACUGUCACUUGCCUUUUAAAACACAGAAGACCUGCCUUCAAGGCUUCAGGGGCUGGCGUCUCGUCGGGUGAGACUGCACCGAGCUGCCCUUCCCUCAGGGGGGCUCUGCCCCGUGACCACCACCCAGAGGGGAGCUGUCAGUCGGCUGGAUGGUCAUCUGGGGGAGGACAGGACAGACCACUGGCCACUCAAGGGAGCAGCAGGUGGGUCUGACCAAGAGACAGGUUUGCCUGAUGACACACGGAGACUCUGAGACCAGUUUAAGGUACGCCACGAGCACAAGGUCUAAAUCACAGAUGCUGGAGUUCCUGUCGUGGCACAGGGGUUAACGAAUCCGACUAGGAACCCUGAGGUUGCAGAUUCAUUUCCUCUGCGCCACAACGGGGAACUCCACAUCAUGUGAUCAUUUUAAAUAGAGAGACAAAGUCUCACCUUAGAUAAAUCCCACCUUGUCCCCUUACCCCAGCCUCACUGCGCUUUAGUCACUGAUUCAACAAACACCUGUGGAGCAUUCACUCCAGCCCAGGACCAAUGCAGGCAUCUCAGGCCGGAGCCCUGGAGAGGCACCAUCAGCAUCCUGUCAGGCGGGUGGUCAGCCCAGGAGCCAGUGCGGAGGCCUGACCUCAAGUUCUAGGUCUGGGACUGAGCACAGAGCACCCAUCCUGUGUGAGCGAGGGGCACUCAAGAACAAAAAGGGCUGAGAGAGACCCAGUGCACUGACAGAACGAACGAAAACCAAGAAAAUAAACUCACUCUGCGUGAAGAUUCUGCAAACGACUCAAGUCCUUUAGUCACAAAGCAGGAUUCAGUGUGCUCACAACAGCCUCACAGCAGAGAGCGAGCCGAGGGUCAGGAACGGCUCACUUCCCUGUGACUCGAACAGUUUACUGCAUCUCACGCCACUUCAUCAACAAAUGAACAGCAUGUGGGCUUUACCUGGGGCGGGGGGCGGCAAAGACAAAACUUCUAAAAGCAUCGUUAUAGUGGCAGAUCAGACAAAACCUUUUGGUUCUGAGCAAACUCGAGACUAAAAGUGGCAAAAAGAUUUACAGGGAAGUCCCGCACAGAUCACCUCUGCGCCCUGCCUCUGGACUGGCUGUCCUCUCCUGAGAGGGAGCUGACUUGCCACGGACCUCCCUCAGCACCCAGCGCCCAACUAUUCAGCACUCACCCACAACGACUUCCCAGUGACAAGGUCGCUGUGCUGCAGAGCUGCUGCUAAGCUCAUCACUCUCCUUCAUUCGACCAGUGUUUACCGGGCACAGAGUGUGUGCCAGGAACUGUUCUUCGCACCAAACAGCCGCCCUGUGGACCUUACCCCACAGUAAAGGAUUACGCGUAACAAACGUACUAAAGAGACUUCAGAAGAAUUAAGUGCUGUGGGAAAUUAAACAGGAAAGGGAAUCAGGAAACCGGAGGUGGCGAGCUGGAAUUCUAGGUAAGAUAGGGAAGGCCUGCCCUCACUGGGCCUAAGAGUGAGGAAGUGAGGGAUCCGGGCAGAUCCGAGGACAGAGCACAUGAGUCUGUUGAGAGAAUGGCCAAGAGGCCAUGGCGGUGGGGGUCAGAGGGUGGCAAGGGGCGUCCCUCCCCAACAAAGGUGCCCA